rnacentral:tRNA from 1 species
UCCCCGGUGGCUCAGAUGGUAAAGAAUCUGCCUGCAACACGGGAGACCCAGGUUCGAUUCCUGGGUGGGGAA